UCUAGCCCCUUGGAAGUUUCUUUCCCUACUCUGUUGUGAGCUGGUGCCUAAGUUAUGGUAUCUGCGACUUGGAUAGGAUCAGAUUCAUCAUUGGACACUGAGACCUCUCAAAUAGGACCCAAAGUCUACACCUUUGAAGCCUUUGUCUUCACUUCUGACUCAUUGAUCCAGAAUCUACUGAGGAUGCAGCAACAAGGUGCCAUCUUG